rnacentral:lncRNA from 1 species
UAUUAAACCUGACCGUGUUCAGCGAAACCUGAUUUUAGAUUGAAAUAGAUCUGAAAAUGUGAUUAUGUUUGUGUUCUUAUUUAUUUUUCAGGGUGAUCGAGGUCCUCCUGGUCCUUUGGGUCCUCCAGGAGAGAAAGGUUCAACAGGGUAUCCGGGUCUUCCAGGAGGUCCUGGGGAUUUCGGCCCGCAAGGUCCACCAGUAUGUUUACCCAUGAUCCUCUGCGGUUCGAAACACAAAUUUUGGAGUGAAAGAUUGAGGUUGGGAGUAACUUUCCACUUAGCUGACAUUUUACUUUAUCUCUUUGUCUCAAGGGUCCACAAGGGCCGAGAGGAGCAGCAGGCAUUUCCGGGCCGAAAGGAAGAAGGGUAAGAUGACUAGUGAAAGAAAUCAUAUUUUUUGUUUAGCUAAAGAUGUCAAAGCGGAUAGAACAAAGCAAACUGAAAUCUGAACUGAAGUAGAGAGAUUUGAUUGGUGGAAACCUUUAGUGGUCGACCGAUAUAUCGCCGAAGCCAAUAUAUCGGCCGAUAUUUGGCAUUUUUUAAAUAUCGGCAUCGGCUGAUACAAUUAUUAUAAUGAUUGCUUUUAUAUUAUGCCGAUAAAUAACAGAAAGCCAAUCAUUAUAAUGCUUUCUUGUUUGCCGUCAGCAUUAAGCAAAUGCGCAUUUUUAUAAUUUAAACUAAUCUUUGAAUGACUAAUGAAUAUUUAAUUUCACAAACCUUGCAAACUUAGCCGAAUCCAGCUGUGAGAUCUUGUGAAGUGUGUGUGUUUAUCCGGCAUGAUCACAUGUUCUCUUCGGACGGUCAGUCUGUGUGAAUUGAAUGCUUUAAACUUUAAACUUUUGAUUUCAAAUUAUACUGCGUUUAUGCGUUUGCCCAGUGUCAUAUUCAUUUCAUCUUCACUGUGUGCUGUAUGUAAAAUGAGGCUUUAUUUGAAAAAUAUUAUUCCCAGUGCACACAAAUUUCCCAGAAUAUUGAUUGCCAUGUUGAUUACUGUGUUUACUUCCAUUUUAUUAUGUUUAUUCAAUAUUUAUUUAUCUGUGAAAAAUACCUUGUCAUCUAAAGUAUAAGUAUGUUUAUUUUACUCAUUUAUGUUUUAAUCCAUUGCCAAAAGAUUUCAAAUUUCUUAAAUAUUAAUAAUAAUAUAUAUAUAUAUUAAUCAUAUCGGCUUUAUAUCGGCUAUCGGCCCUCUGCUUUCCAAGAUAUCGGCAUCAGCUGUCAAAAAACACAUAUCGGUUGACCAUUAGAAACCUUUGAUUGACAGUAAAAUAUAAGUUCAUUUGGAUGAUUGUUACCAAUAAAUAACUAGGUAUUUCAACUCUGAUUUUUAUUUCAGCUGAAGAAAUUAUCAUUUAAUAUUUAUUUUUUUGAUGUAAAGAAAAUUCUGGAUUUUUUACUAUUGGUUAAACAGGCAGUGGGUGGAGUCACACAGACCAAAAUAGAGACAGACAUUCUGACUCUGAAUGUACAUUUUCAAAGAGAAUAACUGACAGUAGCAUAGUUUUUCAGAUAAACAUGUUAACUUAGCAUAUUUCCUACAUUUCUACAAAAAUAUUAUGGGAUUUUUUGUAUAGAGUCAAAAACUUGCAGCACCUUUAAAGCUGUAGUAUUUUUGUCCUGACAGUAGAAUAUGAGACAGAUAAUCUGUGAAAAAAUCAAGCUCCUCUGGCUCCUCCCAGUGGUCCUAUUGCCAAGAAACAACCAAUCAGAGCUGUGGUCCGUAACUUUGUUUGUGUUGAAAAUGUAGAAAAAUGUAUAUAAUAAGCGAGUACACCAUGGAUCCAUUUUCCAAACCGUGUUUUUAGCUUGUCCUGAAUCACUAGGGUGCACCUAUAAUAAGUGUUUAUAUUCGGACUAUUUUAGAUUGCUUCGGGGGUACCGCGGCGGAGUAACCCAGUACCUUUGUGAUUCUUCAUAGACAUAAACAGAGAGAAGUAGUUCCGGCUACAAUGUUCUUCCGCAAGACGCAAGCAGUUCUGUUUAUUAACCGCUAGAGCGUAAUAUUGUGUUUCUGUUUAGAUGUAUUUUUAUAACAAUUCAUUUUUGAAAAUUAUUUCACAGUGCAAAACAAAAAAAAAAAAAAAAAAGUAAUGAUCCUAAAAAUGCCCAGAAAGGUUGAAAGUUUUUUUUUUGGUUGACAUGCAUGCAAGCCCAAAAAACACUUUUAUUAUCUUUUAAUAUCCAUUUAUUUUUACCUCCCAAACGAUUUGUUUAAUGAUUAGUGACACUGUGAUUGGUCUGAUUGGAUCAUGUCUGUAAUGCCUGAUAAAGCAGUGUUUGUGAGUGCAGUGCUGCUUAGUUUAUGGUUUUACCAGUGUUUUACUGAUCCAAAAGCGCCACCUAGUGGUAAAGAAUGAAUUUGUAUUUUGUAAGUGAAUGGCGUUUCUAGAUAAAGUGGUCAAAACGAAUAUUACAGUCACCACUGACAGUCUUUAUUUCACACUUAUUUGAGAAACGAUUUGUACUGAAUACAAGACAUAACACAUUUAAUUCAAUGUGUUACUUGGUGUCACUACACUUGUUUUCAGUCUAAUUUUUUAGUUUUAGUUUAUUUCGUUUUUUUAUCUAUAUUAUUUGUAUUUUUACAUUUUAUUUGGAUUAAGCUGGAAGAAUGACUUUUUUUAGGCAUUUAUUAUGUUGAAUGUAUGUAACAAAAAGUAACCGUUUUAAAAGUACAGUAGCAGAACCAGCUGGUUUAAUUAAUAACCGGUCACCGUGAGGGUAAAUACUUGCAGGAAAGCUUGACUAAGGUAAUAAAUGACAGAGAGAAAGAGCAUGUUUGACGUGAGUCCUAAUGACACAGGAUGAAGUCUGAUGAAAAGAGGUUUGAGCUUCACGCCAAACUCUGCAAUUAAGAGAGCGUUCCCCUCCGUUCUGUUUAUAUAAAACAGUGCAGAUCUGAUUUUAAUGAUGGUGAGAACGGGAGACUUUAAACCCCCUUGUGAAAACAUGCCAGACAGAUCACUUACACAUCCUGAACAGAGCGUGGAGAGUCUCCGUUCAUCAGCCCAAAGUCAACAAACGAGACUCUCUGGCUCUGUGCUUCUGCUCCUAAACUCAGUCUGCACCUGUAGACACCGUUAAAAGCCUGUUCCCAAUACAGUGGAUGCUGAAUCCCUUAUUAUGAGUUCAUACUAAAGCAGCAUUGUGUUUAAUCUGAGAAUGCAUCGCAAGAAGCUUAUUUUGUCCAAGAUUGUGGACAAAAUAAGAGAAAUGCUGUUAUAAAAAUCCCUUUUACAAUCCCAUAUACGUAUAAAUCAUCCAAUACUGACACAUAUAGAUUAAACUGAAUUGUAUAAUGAUGUGUAAUAUUUGUAGGUAUGUAUACUAUUGUAGGUAUAUUAUUUAUGUACCAUUGUAUUGAAAAUUAGUUUACAUUUUAAUUUUAGUGUAAUGUUUUGUUAAUAAUUGUUAUAAAAGUUUGUUGUUAAAAUGU